AGCAGCGGAAGAGCUUUGCUGACAGGUGGAUUUAAACAUUUCAGCUCAAACAGAAGAAAUGGACGAUAACAAAACAGUACUGGUCGAGAGCCUCAUUGUGUGGCUGCAGACCUUUAACACUCCCGCGCCCUGCAGAACAGUGGAGGAGCUGACCACUGGAGCAGCAAUAUCGCAGGCACUGCAUCAGAUAGACCCAGCAUGGUUCACCGAUGGAUGGUUGGGUCGUAUCAAAGCAGAUGUUGAGGACAACUGGAGACUGAAGAUGAACAACCUGAAGAAGAUCCUUCAGAUGGUGGUUGACUAUUAUAAUGAGGUCUUAUCCCAGGAGAUAUCAGACUUCCCCUUGCCAGAUCUGGCCCUGGUAGCAGAGCAUUCAGACCCUGUGGAGCUGGGGAGGCUGCUGCAGCUCAUACUCGGCUGUGCUGUCAGAUGUGAGCGUAAACAAGAGUACAUUCAGAUCAUCAUGACGUUGGAGGAGUCUGUGCAGCAUGUUGUCAUGACAGCCAUCCAGGAGCUCAUGAGUAAAGAGACCAUGGCCCCAUUUGGAGCAGAGCUGUCAGGGGACUUGGAACAGCAGUUAAAGAAAGCCCUCGAGGAUCUUGCUGAACUUUUAGCUGAGAAGGAAGCAUUAGCCCAACGCUGUCAAGAGCUGGACAUACAGGUGGCUGUUCUUCAAGAGGAACGGAACAGCUUAUUGGCUGAGAAUGAUGUCCUAACUGAUCGGGCCAAUCAGCUCGACACCUUCGAUGACCCUAGCACACCCUCAGGAAGGAAACACAGCCAGUUACAGCAACAGCUGGAGACACUGCAGGAGGAGAACUUCAGGCUGGAGGCCGCCAAGGAUGACUACAGGAUCCACUGUGAAGAGUUGGAGAAGCAGCUGAUUGAGGUGCAGCACCGUAAUGACGAGCUCACCAGCCUGGCAGAAGAAUCUCGAGCUCUCAGAGAUGAACUGGACGUUCUCAGGAGCUGCUCAGAUCGAGUGGUGAUGCUGGAGGCCUCAGUGGAAACAUACAAACGUAAACUGGAGAAUCUGGGCGAUCUGAAGAGGCAGAUGAAGCUGCUGGAGGAGAAUAACAUGACCUACAUGCAAAACACUGUCAGCUUGGAGGAAGAGCUACGCAAAGCCAACGCUGCUCGUGCACAGCUCGAGACAUACAAGAGACAGGUCCAAGAGCUACACAGGAAGUUGUCCGAGGAGACGAGGCGAGCAGACAACCUCGCCUAUGAUAUGAAGAAGCUGGAGGAGAAGCACGACACUGUGAUGAAGGAGAAAGAGAGGAUCAUCAUUGAAAGAGAUUCUCUAAAGGAGAUCAAUGAGGAGCUGAGAUGCACUCAGGCUCAACAGCAUCAGCUCUCCCAAGCAGGGAUGCUUCCUUCCAGCAGCCCGAGCCAUGAUAACCUGGCAGCUGAAUUAAUGCCCAUUGAGUACAGAGAAAAGUUCAUCAGGCUGCAGCAUGAGAACAAGAUGCUGAGAGUGCAGCAGGAGGAAUGUGAGCGGGAGAAGAUCGCGGCCCUGCAGGCUCAGCUGGAGGAAGCACAUAAGACGCGCAGUGAGCUGGACACUGAGAACAGAUUGAGCCGAGAGCGGGUGAGUGAGCUGCAGCAGCAGGUGGAGGAUCUCCAGAAGGCUCUGCAGAGUCAAGCGGCCAAACCUGAUGAUUCGAACCUGAAGCGGAAACUUGAUGCACACAUGGUCCAGCUGAACGAGGCUCAGGACGAAAUCAUGAAGAAGAAGGAGCUGCUGGAGGACCUUCAGCCUGACAACACUCAGACCUCUUUGAGGGUGGAUGAGUUGAUGGCUGCUCUGAAGAAGAAGGAUGAUGACAUGCGGGCCAUGGAAGAGAGGUACAAAAUGUACCUGGAGAAAGCUCGCAAUGUGAUUCGAGCGCUGGACCCUAAAUUGAAUCCAGCCACGGCGGAGAUCCAGGCUCUGAGGAACCAGCUUGCGGACCGGGACAAGCAGAUUCUCACCCUGGAACGCCAAUGUGAGCAGGCCAGGCUGAGGGAGUAUGAGGAGAAGCUGAUUGUAACAGCGUGGUAUAACAAGAGUCUGAACUUUCAGAAGCUGGCCAUUGAAUCACGUCUCGGUGGACGCACCUCCUCCAUGCUGUCCCCUGGCCAGUCCUUCUUGGCCCAGCAGCGGCAAGUCUCAAAUGCCCCACGCCGGGCGCUUUCCAUCAGCGUGCCUGCCACUACCUCCAAAUAGACCUCGUCACGGAGCCAAAUGUCUCACCUUUAUUCGGUGAAGGGGGAAAAAUGCCCUCCCUCCCACAAAAUGGAACAAGCCCAUCAUGUAAAGCUGUGAAAACCCUACAAGUCAUAUUAAGUGAUGAAUCUCAGAGGUGCUGCAACGGCAAAUCUUACAAAAUAAACCCAGGACUAAUGUAUUUCUCAUGUAUUUAAACUCCUAAAGUGCGAUGUGACUUCCUCACUGGCAGCAUGCUCUAAAUGAAAACUGGCAGGCCUUUCGAUUCACUGAAUAUGUCGAAUCUUAUUUAGUGGUUAGUGAUGAAGAUGAUAAUCUAUGAAGUUGUACAGCUCUAAUGUAAACAUGAUUUAACACCAGCUUUUGAUCCAAAUAUUGGGACCAGGUUCAGCGUUCAUACAGUACCUGCAAAUUGUAAUAUGAGAAUUUUGAUUACUGUAGUCGAUAUUGUAUUUAAUCAUGGACGUGUUUAGUUCAGAGUGAAGAGUGCUGUAGAGGAGCAGUUGUUCUCUUUGGUAUUGUGGGAUAUUGGCUGUCUGAUCUUAAGGAGUCUUAAGUUAAACUGCACUAGUUUCAGUUGAUUGCUUUGUUACUCUGUAUGUUUGCAAUAACACUAAAGGGGCAUUCUGUUUUCAUGGUUUUGCCAUUUGUGAUCUACAGACGUGUCAAAGUGCUUUUGUUUUCCUUUGCAGUGGAUGAUCCUUGUAGAUAUGCUGAUUUAAAAAAAACGGUGUUGUUUAUAUGAAAAUAAGAAGUACAAUCAAACGUAGCACAGCACAGAGACUUAAUGUGUCGUGUCAUAUGUUUGUGUGUAAAUGAAGAAAAAUGAGGAAGGCAUUAUGAAUUUAAGAAGUUAAAAUUUUAAAGCCUUUGGUUUUCUUGUGAAUAA